rnacentral:rRNA from 1 species
UCUUGUAGGUGANCCUGCCGUUGGAUCAGU